UACGAAGGGGGCUAGCGUUGCUCGGAAUCACUGGGCGUAAAGGGUGCGUAGGCGGGUCUUUAAGUCAGGGGUGAAAUCCUGGAGCUCAACUCCAGAACUGCCUUUGAUACUGAGGAUCUUGAGUCCGGAAGAGGAGAGUGGAAUUCCUGGUGUAGCGGUGAAAUGCGCAGAUAUCAGGAAGAACACCCGUGGCUAAGGCGGCUCUCUAGUAUGGUACUGACGCUGAGACGCGAAAGCGUGGGGAGCAAACAGG
rnacentral:rRNA from 1 species